GUAUUCAGUUAUCUCACAAAGAGAAUAAUGAUUUCAUAGAGGUGGAAUUACUUUCUGCUUUAAUGUUUUCUACUAUUUUGUUUUUAACGUUUUGUGCUGAAAUUAAUAUUGAAAAAGUAAUGACGACUAUACAAUUUUUAAACAUUAGUAUCAGAGACAUUCAUAUUUACAAGUUUCAGAGGAAGAUGAACUAUUGAGCUAACGAAGGUUAGAAUAGCUAACCUAUAUAGCUGGAAAAAGAUGAUUUCUCUGACUUAAAAAUUUAUUAUUUAUAAUUCAAUUGUUACACGUAACUGUCAAGCAUCAUUGGCUCAGCUAUAAAUUCAACCAGUUGCAGAACCAGAUCUUGUAUUUCCAGAUAAUGACACAAGUCAUAUUACGCAGUUACGUCUUUAAGAAUCGUCAGAAAAGUCUUCAAACUUUUCUCUUCUGAAGAAGAAAAAGAAUUAAACAAAAAAUAGUCUCACAAAUCUACAAUAUAAAAAUAAUGGCAGACAUUAAAAAUACAAGAAUAUAAAAGAUCACAAAGAGUGGUAACACCAACAAAAGAAUAAAAUUUUGAUUAUACUACAAAUUAUGGAUAAAUGGUUCAAUAAUGAAUCUUAAGUAGCUCUAAUACUCAUGUUGGAUAGCAGCAAUUCGUCUCCACUAUCUGAAGUUAUUAAUAUUGGACAUGAAGAAAAGAUACACCUUCCAAUAAAUUUGAAACAUUUUUCAAAUAUACUAAGCAGUUUGUAUCUUGAAAAAAAUAAUUAUUGUGAUAGAAGAAAAUAUUACGUAGCAUUAGAAAAUAUAUGAAGAAGCAAUGGUUCAGCAAGAUAGACUACUUAACAUUCUUGAACAGAUGAUUAUUGAUAAUAUGAUAGAGAAGAGAGAAGAAAUCAUAUCUUUAUGGUACGUAAAUUACCAAAGCGCCUAUUUUUUAUAAUACUACUUAUAAUAUUUUUAUAUAAUAUUUCUACGAGUGUCUUAUUUAAGACUGAUACAAAUUAAAAUUUUUGUUAAACUAUAUAUGUAGAUUGACAUAAUAACCUUAGCAUAUCAAAUUAUAUAUUUUUUUUACACAUUUAUUAUGAAGUUCUAAAAUUUUAUGUAUUCAGGUUUAUUAGUCUGUUUAUAUACUUAUUAGGCUAAAACUUUAUUUUUGUCUUAUUACAAUUUACAUAGGUUUACAAAGGCAAUAGCAAAUUUUAAAAAUAAAGAUACUUUUAGAAAAAUCAA